GCCGGGUGCAGUGGUGCACACCUGUAAUCCCAGUGGCUUGGGAGGCUGAGGCAAGAGGAUAUCCAGUUCAAAGCCAGCCUCAGCAAUUCAGCAAGACCCUAAGCAAGAGCAAGUCAGUGAGACCCUGUCUCUA
rnacentral:sRNA from 1 species